UUUAGACCUAAGUUUUCUUUGAU
rnacentral:siRNA from 1 species